rnacentral:rRNA from 1 species
UACGAGAGGCCCAAACGUUAUUCGGAAUUACUGGGCUUAAAGAGUUCGUAGGCGGCAUUGCAAGUAGGGUGUGAAAGCCCUCGGCUCAACCGAGGAAUUGCGCUCUAAACUGCAGUGCUUGAGGAACCUGGAGGUGAGCAGAACAGAUGGUGGAGACGGUGAAAUGCGUUGAUAUCAUCUGGAAUACCGGAGGCGAAGGCGGCUCACUGGGAGUUUUCUGACGCUGAGGAACGAAAGCCAGGGUAGCGAACGGGG